ensembl:lncRNA LINC00707 long intergenic non-protein coding RNA 707
CAGUGUGGCUAAAAUAAAGCAGGCAGAGGAACGUGGAAGGACUAGACUGCCUGAGUCUUCUGACCUUCAUCUUUCCCCUGUGUUGGAUGCCUCCUGCCCUCAAACAUCAGACUCCAGGUUCUUCAGCUUUUGGACUCUUGGACCUACCCCCCGAGUGGUUUGCCAGGGGCUCUCAGGCCUUCGGCUACAGACUGAGGGCUGCAUUAUCAGCUUUCCUACUUUUGAGGUUUUGGGACUUUACUGGCUUUCUUGCUCCUCAACUUGCAGAUGGCCUGUUGUGGGACCUCACCUUGUGAUCAUGUACAUGAGGGAAAUACACACCCCUCCCAGGGAUGAUGGAAGGUUAAGGUCCUAACACCUCCUGCACAUCUGAGCAGCUGCACAUUGAACCAGAUAGUCCUGGAAUGUGGGAAAACAGAGGCAGACUCAAGAGUCUGGAACAUUAUUUUAGGAUCACACAAAAAAGAUACAUAAUUUUCAUAGGUCUUGCUCUGUCUCCCAGGUUAUGUAGCACAGUGGUGUGAUGUUGGCUCACUGCAGCCUCAACAUUCUGGAAUCAAGCGAUCCUCCCUCUUCCGCCUCCCGAGUAGCUGGAACUACAGGUGCAUACGACCAUGCCUGGCAUUUUUUGUAUUUUUGGUAAAGAUGGGGUUUCACCAUAUUGCCAAGGCUGUUCUCAAACUUCUGGACUCAAGCAAUCCUCCCACCUGGGCCUCCCAAAGUGCUGGGAUUACAGGCAUAAGCUACUGCACCCGGCCAAUAAUCAAUUACUUUCUUCAAUUAUCUUACUAAUGAUACUGAAAGCAUCUCAAAAAUAAAAUCACGAGUAUCUGCAGAUCACUAUGAGACUGGACUGGAACAUUACCUUCAGACACAUUGAUAUGACUACAUGCUGGACAUUUUCUUGCGGAAAUCCAAAAGAAAUCCCCAUUUUCUUGCAGAAAUCUAAAAUAAUCUCCCCUAUGUGCAAGUCAGACUGAGCACCACUCCCAAGACCAUGACCUCCCCUGCAGCCCUGCUCCUUCCCACUCACCUCUCCUCUUGAGAAAGCCACCUCCCACCACCCAGUCUGCAGUGCCAGAAAACUGGAAACCAGCCCCUAAGCUGCUUUCACCUUCGGCCCAUUUCUCACUAGCCAGCCUCUCCCACGGCCUCCCCAGUUUCUUCAAAUACACCCCCUCCACUAUUCACCAUACUGCCACCGUGAUUUAUUUACAACUUUUUGUCCGGAUUACCUCAGUAGCCUUCUAAUUGUCCCCUUUGCAUCUAAAGUAGCCCCUCUCAUCCCCCAAAUCUUACGUCACUCUUCUACAUAAUUCUGGCUUUCCAUGACCCAUAAACCACAUUUCUCAAGUGUGCUCUAUGCUGGCUUGAAUAUGUUAAUAAUCUUAAUUCUACUUUUAGUGCAAUUUUCUUAGAGCUGGCAUCACUUUCAUCAUGACGUGAGAACUUACUAGAGAUAGGCAAUGAUGACUCACAGUCAAGCCACAUGUCAUAUGCUGCAGACAUCUGGACUGCUGCUUAUUUGCAAAUCCUUUUCUUCAUAUUUUUCUCAUUUGUAGCACUGGAUCAAUUCCAAUUAAGAGUUUAAUAAUGAAUUAACUAAUGAUUUAAACAGGUGGAUAAGACUAACACUGAA